rnacentral:rRNA from 1 species
GAGGACGGUUGGCGAGAGUUUAUCACUCUUGUUUGCCUACUUUUGGUAGACUUUAGUCGGGCUGGACCUUUGGUCCUCGUCUGACAGUUGCUACGUGCUUACUUACCACGGUUCAUCCGUGAGGCCCUUGGCUUGCAACUGUAAAUAAAUCGUUGUGCUUAAAGCGGGCUAUGAUACUCUGCCAGAGCGAUUUAGCAUGGGACUGCAGAGUAGCUGUAUUUGGGUGAAGGUUGUGUUUCGGCAUGGCUGGAGCCUGGUACAGCGCUUGUAAUGGAGCUCAGGGUGAGGCCCCGGGUACCAUGAGGCUAGAGGUGAAAUUCUGAGACCCUCAUGUGACCAACUAAGGCGAAAGCUGUCGUGGGCCACCACAAGCUCGUCUAUCAGGGACGAAAGUUGGGGGAUCGAAGACGAUUAGAUACCGUCGUAGUCCCAACUAUAAACGAUACCAACCGAGUAUUUGGGAAGACACUAUCCCAGCGAUCUUCUCAG